AUUGCUCCCAGCGCCAAGCUCUGUGUCGCCGCCGUCGCCUAGGCGGUUGGGGGUCGGUGGGGCGGCGCGGGCGGGGGUCGCUGCGCGGGGCGGCGAGCCUCUGUUUUGUCUCCUUCUCUCCCUGUGGAGCGGCUCGGGCUGCUGGGGAGGCCCCGGCUCCCUCCGGACGCUCGGCCAACGGCGGCGGCUAGUCCGCGGCCCUGCUGAGAGGGAAAAGGACGCCGCGGUCUUCCCAGGCGUCGCGGAGAGCAGAGACCGGGUUUCACUGUGUUAGCCAGGAUGGUCUCGAUGUCUUGACCUCGUGAUCCACCCACCUCGGCCUCCCAAAGUGCUGGGAUGACAGGCGUGAGCCACUGCGCCCGGCCCUGAUACUUCUUAUAUAUGGUGUUUGACAAGUCUUUCAGGAAAAUCUGAAUUUUUUUCCCCAUAUGACCUUUUUUCUGAUGUGUAAUAGUUGGAAAAUAAAGGCAGGAUUUAGAAUAAUUACUGAGAAUGAAAAACUUCUUUUGAAGAGGAAACCAAGAACUUGGUUCAAGAGGAGAAAGAAAUUAAAAGGUGGUAAUUUCUUUUUGAGACAUUUACUUUCUUGAAUAAACUUGACAUCCCCCCCUUUUUUUUUUUUAUCUUUUUCUUUAGGGACAUUGGUCUAUAGUUAGUAUCUAGGUUUACAACAUUAAGCUUUUUUCAUUUUGUUUGGAAAAACAAGGCUGGCAGAAUUACAUUUGUUUUUAAUUCCAUUGCUAAUAUUACAUACUUAGGAGGCUAUCAGGUGCAAGUUAUUUACUUGAGACAAGAAGCACUGAUUAUUUUGGCUAGGCUUCAUCUGAAGGCCUAUGUUCUGGGAAGGGAGGCCUCCAUAAAAAAGGAAGAACCUUUAGUGACCUUUAUCCUUGGGAAUAAAAGUAAAGAUCAGAAGCCAGUGCAUUCAGUUUACCGUCUUACAAAAGGAGUCAAGUAUUGUAUAGGUCAGAGACCACUAUUGUAAGAUCAUAUAAAUCCUGUGUCUAAUUUUGUU
rnacentral:lncRNA from 1 species